AGCAAACGUCCUCUGAGUAUCAAAACGUGACCACCCGUAGUCUUCCGUUAGCAAAUGUGUGAACGUGGUAUUAAAUUGAAGGGUAAACUGAGUAUACCCAAUCAAAGUCGUAAAUGUAACGCCACUUUCAUGCCUUUGCUAACGGAACACCACAUGUGGUCAUUUUUUUUAUACUCGGAGGACAUUUACUGUCACUUUUUGAUACUCGGAGGACGUUUGUUGGUCAUUUUAUACUCGGAGGACAUUUGCUGGUAAUAGCACAAUACUUGAAGGAUCAUUGGAGGUAUUAAUUCCAGUGAUUCCUAUUAUGUCUAACGCUUGUGUUCGCUACUUUGAUGUUCAGCCUAACUUGAAGGGCACCUGCCUAUGCUGCUUUACUGCAGAGUUGAUCACAAUAAGCGAGCCUAAAUGUGGUUCACCGGUGUAAUAAGUUGUUGUAACCUUGAGAUUCUUUGUGUUAUCAAUGGCUUCUGAAGUGCUGAAACCCAUGAUAUCCCUUUUUAAAACAUGUAAUUUGGUUCCAUUCAAAGUUGCAAUAAAGAAGAGUUUGGAGCGGUGUUGAUAUUGAGGAAGAUGAGAUCCUCUUUAAUUGAUUAGGACUAGGAGACACAAAACAGACAGUCCUUACCAUUGCUUUAUCACAUGGGACACAGUCCCUUUAAUUUUGUCUUGUUACAAACUUUAGGAUACAAAAUCAUUUUGUGGUCUAUCUGUUAUACAUUGUGUGAUUGUGUCUUUAAAUGAAUAAUGAUGAUAAGUUUAAUUGUAAUCACCAUCCAAUUGA